UAAAUCAACUCGCAGCAAGGCGCCGAAAAGGCUUAAUAGGGAAUCCGGUGGGAAUCCGGAGCUGUCCCCGCAACUGUCAAUGCGGACGAAAUGAAAUCGCCACUGUACGGACGGAUGGCUUGCGCUGUUUUCCGUACGGGAAGGCUUCAGAGUAGGAUGAAGCAUGAGCCAGUAGACCUGCCUUGCUUGCCGCAGUUUCC
rnacentral:ncRNA from 21 species